rnacentral:rRNA from 1 species
AGCUACGGUCAUAGAAUCAUGAAUACAACGCAUCCCGUCCGCUCUGCGCUAUUUAAGCAUGAUAUCGUCCGGCUAGUACUGUCGUGGGUGACCAGACGGGAAUCCCGGAUACUGUAGUUUUCG